rnacentral:rRNA from 1 species
UACGGAGGGUGCAAGCGUUGUUCGGAAUCACUGGGCUUAAAGCGCGUGUAGGCGGGGUGCCAGGUGUCGAGUGAAAGCCCCGGUCUCAAACCGGGAAUGGCUCGGCAAACCGGCGCUCUUGAGGCAGAUAGAGGUGACUGGAACGACUGGUGGAGCGGUGAAAUGCGUAGAUAUCAGUUGGAACGCCAGCGGCGAAAGCGGGUCACUGGAUCUGUCCUGACGCUGAGACGCGAAAGCGUGGGUAGCAAACAGGAUUAGAUACCCGUGUA